rnacentral:rRNA from 1 species
GGAUAACCUACCCUUAGGACCGGGAUAACCUUGGGAAACUGAGGAUAAUACCGGAUAGGCAAUUAUUCCUGGAAUGGUUUUUUGUUUAAAUGUUUUUUCGCCUAAGGAUGGGUCUGCGGCCGAUUAGGUAGUUGGUUAGGUAACGGCUUACCAAGCCAUUGAUCGGUACGGGUUGUGAGAGCAAGAGCCCGGAGAUGGAACCUGAGACAAGGUUCCAGGCCCUACGGGGUGCAGCAGGCGCGAAACCUCCGCAAUGUGAGAAAUCGCGACGGGGGGAUCCCAAGUGCCAUUCUUAACGGGAUGGCUUUUCAUUAGUGUAAAGAGCUUUUGGAAUAAGGGCUGGGCAAGACCGGUGCCAGCCGCCGCGGUAACACCGGCAGCUCUAGUGGUAGCAGUUUUUAUUGGGCCUAAAGCGUCCGUAGCCGGUUUAAUAAGUCUCUGGUGAAAUCCUGUAGCUUAACUGUGGGAAUUGCUGGAGAUACUAUUAGACUUGAGACCGGGAGAGGUUAGAGGUACUCCCAGGGUAGAGGUGAAAUUCUGUAAUCCUGGGAGGACCGCCUGUUGCGAAGGCGUCUAACUGGAACGGUUCUGACGGUGAGGGACGAAAGUUAGGGGCGCGAACCGGAUUAGAUACCCGGGUAGUCCUAACCGUAAACGAUGCGGACUUGGUGUUGGGGUGGCUUUGAGCUGCUCCAGUGCCGAAAGGAAGCUGUUAAGUCCGCCGCCUGGGAAGUACGGUCGCAAGACUGAAA